rnacentral:misc_RNA from 1 species
CAAUAAGUGUUCAAUGGCACUUUAAAAUCCAUUACCCACCUUGUGUGCAAUGUAAGGAGGAGGGGGUUUGUCAGACUUCUUGGUCUGGUUUCCCCUCUUUCAUUAUACAUACCAAUCUUCUCUUGUUGUCUACUUUUUGAGUAUAAAAAACUCGAAUA